rnacentral:lncRNA from 1 species
AUGUUUCUUCUCUUUUGUCACGCAGUUACACAGGCACAAAUACCUACGCUCACAACUUCACAGUCUCUCUUAGUUCUGUGUUUGCCACCCCCAAAGUUCAAAGCAUAAUUUCUACACUGUUGACAGAUCCAACCAUUUACAGUCUCAGUCUCAAGUCACUAGGUAAAACACUGCAACCACACCAAUAUUUUUGGUCACUUGUGUGAUCUAUCCAGCCAUUCCUACCCAUCUUUUUACUAACACAGUAUUUUAUAUUCAUUUGCAGGCAUGGUAUACAUGGAGGCACCUACAGGAAAAGUGUGUUACAAUUCAAGACAACAGCUGAACUGUACCAGUAUAGAGGCUAUGAGCAAGUGCGUGUGGCAGAUGUUCAGAGAUAAUGAAGCAGAAUUGACUCUGGGACCAGGGAGUGAAUUACAGCUGUCAGAUACUUGUACAGAACUUUCAACAAUCACACUUCUAAAGACAAAUGGAUACUGGUCAGGAACGUACAUCUGCCUUUUUGUCACUGGGAACAUAGCUCACAUGGCCAUGGCACCUAUUCAAAUUGCACUUCUGCCAGAGGUCAUUAAUGUGACAAGCAAUCCACAAACUGCAGAUUGUUCUGCAUCAACAUCCACCAAAGUUAGCAUCUUAUGUUCCAUCGAAAACAGUAUUGAAACCUACAGGGCCAUGCUAAAACUCGGAAUUGUUGAAAUUGCACCAGUUAAAGAAGGUAAGGCUAUAAUUAUCUUAUAAAUCUCUCUUUCGAUGCAAUGUGAAGCU